rnacentral:rRNA from 1 species
CCUACGGGAGGCAGCAGUAAGGAAUAUUGGUCAAUGGACGCAAGUCUGAACCAGCCAUGCCGCGUGAAGGAUUAAGGUCCUCUGGAUUGUAAACUUCUUUUAUCUGGGACGAAAAAAGGCGAUUCUUCGUCACUUGACGGUACCAGAUGAAUAAGCACCGGCUAACUCCGUGCCAGCAGCCGCGGUAAUACGGAGGGUGCAAGCGUUAUCCGGAUUCACUGGGUUUAAAGGGUGCGUAGGCGGGCAGGUAAGUCAGUGGUGAAAUCCUAGAGCUUAACUCUAGAACUGCCAUUGAUACUAUCUGUCUUGAAUAUUGUGGAGGUAAGCGGAAUAUGUCAUGUAGCGGUGAAAUGCUUAGAUAUGACAUAGAACACCUAUUGCGAAGGCAGCUUACUACGCAUAUAUUGACGCUGAGGCACGAAAGCGUGGGGAUCAAACAGGAUUAGAUACCCUGGUAGUCCACGCCCUAAACGAUANAUACUCACAUUGUGUAUACACUAUAAGUAGUGUGAGAGAAGACGAUUAAGUUAAAGUACCUACCGUUACGGGAAGGUAACGAACCGACCGAAGGUUAGGUUAAACGUUACGAAAGUUAGAAGUUAGACGGACGUUGAGACGUUAGCCGAACGGACGACCGACGAAGGGGAAGGUAGGAG